rnacentral:rRNA from 1 species
AAUGAACGUUGGCGGCGUGGAUUAGGCAUGCAAGUCGUACGAGAAUCGUAGCAAUACGAGGACAGCGGCGAAAGGGAGAGGAACACGUGGAUACGUACCCUCGGGCCCAGGAUAGCCAUGGGAAACUAUGGGUAAUACUGGAUAACAUCUCCGGAUCAAAGGUGUGAUUCCGCCCGGGGAGCGGUCCGCGUCCUAUUAGCUAGUUGGUGAGGUAACGGCUCACCAAGGCGAAGAUGGGUACGAGAUGUGAGAGCAUAAUCUCGCUCAUUGGGACUGAGACACUGCCCAGACACCUACGGGUGGCUGCAGUCGAGAAUCUUCGGGAAUGGGGGAAACCCUGACCGAGCGACGCCGCGUGCGAGAUGAAGGCCUUCGGGUUGUAAAUCGCUGUCGUAGGGGAGGAAAUGCCGGUGGGUUCUCCCAUCGGUUUGACCUAUCCUAGGAGGAAGGACGGGCUAAGUUCGUGCCAGCCGCCGCUGUAACAC